rnacentral:rRNA from 1 species
UGAGGAAUAUUGCACAAUGGGCGAAAGCCUGAUGCAGCAACGCCGCGUGCGGGACGAAGGCCUUCGGGUCGUAAACCGCUUUUCUGGGGAAAGAGCAAGGACGGUACCUCAGGAAUAAGUCUCAGCUAACUACGUGCCAGCAGCCGCGGUAAAACGUAGGAGGCGAGCGUUAUCCGGAUUUACUGGGCGUAAAGCGCACGCAGGCGGCUCUGUGAGUCGGACGCGAAAGCUCUCGGCUUAACCGGGAGAGGCCGUUCGAUACUGCGGGGCUUGAGGUAGGGAGAGGAAUGCGGAAUUCCCGGUGUAGUGGUGGAAUGCGUAGAUAUCGGGAGGAACACCUGUGGCGAAAGCGGCAUUCUGGCCCUCACCUGACGCUGAGGUGCGAAAGCGUGGGUAGCAAACAG